rnacentral:lncRNA from 1 species
CUUGAAAUUUUAGCUAUCAUUUUCUCCUCAAUAAAAGUAAAAGCCUCUCUAUUCAAUGGCCUAUCUGAAAGAGAGACACCCAAAUAUUUCUAUAAUCUUGUGUGUUCAUUAACUUCAAACAGCCUUCUAAUUUGAGCUUUAGUUCUUGUUGGGGUUGCUGGACUAAUAGCUAAAUGCGAUUUACUGAAAUUAGGAGCUUGUCCAAAUAAGCAACAAUAGGCAUCAAUAAUUGCUUUAAG